rnacentral:rRNA from 1 species
UACGUAGGUGGCGAGCGUUGUCCGGAUUUACUGGGCGUAAAGGGAGCGUAGGCGGACUUUUAAGUGAGAUGUGAAAUACCCGGGCUCAACUUGGGUGCUGCAUUUCAAACUGGAAGUCUAGAGUGCAGGAGAGGAGAAUGGAAUUCCUAGUGUAGCGGUGAAAUGCGUAGAGAUUAGGAAGAACACCAGUGGCGAAGGCGAUUCUCUGGACUGUAACUGACACUGAGGCACGAAAGCGUGGGGAGCAAACAGGAUUAGAUACCCCCGUA